GAUGAACGCUGGCGGCGUGCCUAAUACGUGCAAGUCGAGCGAACGGACGAGAAGCUUGCUUCUCUGAUGUUAGCGGCGGACGGGUGAGUAACACGUGGAUAACCUACCUAUAAGACUGGGAUAACUUCGGGAAACCGGAGCUAAUACCGGAUGAUAUUUUGAACCGCAUGGUUCAAAAGUGAAAGACGGUCGUGCGGUCACUUAUAGAUGGAUCCGCGCUGCAUUAGCUAGUUGGUAAGGUAACGGCUUACCAAGGCAACGAUGCAUAGCCGACCUGAGAGGGUGAUCGGCCACACUGGAACUGAGACACGGUCCAGACUCCUACGGGAGGGAGCAGUAGGGAAUCUUCCGCAAUGGGCGAGAGCCUGACGGAGCAACGCCGCGUGAGUGAUGAAGGUCUUCGGAUCGUAAAACUCUGUUAUUAGGGAAGAACAUAUGUGUAAGUAACUGUGCACAUCUUGACGGUACCUAAUAAGAAAGCCACGGCUAACUACGUG
rnacentral:rRNA from 1 species